rnacentral:rRNA from 1 species
CAUUGCUGGCCCUGGUCAAUGUCCAAUCGCAUCUGAUCUCAAAAGCUAGAUAAGUUUAGACCUGGUUAUUACUUGGAUGGAAGCCUACUGGGAAUACCAGGUACCACAGUGG